GCUCAGGUAGCUCAGCUCGGUUAGAGCGCUGGGCUGUGGACCCAGUGGUCCCGGGUUCAAAUCCCGGCCUGAGCCCCA
rnacentral:tRNA from 1 species